rnacentral:rRNA from 1 species
UGGGUAGUCCGCACGAGCGCACCUUACUUUUAGUUGCUACCAUUUAGUUGGGCACUCUAAAAGAACUGCCAGUGAUAAGCUGGAGGAAGGUGGGGAUGACGUCAAGUCCUCAUGGCCCUUAUGUGUUGGGCUACACACGUGCUACAAUGGUACUCACAGUGAGAAGCGAAGAGGCGACUCUCAGCCAAUCCCUAAAAAGUACCUCAGUUCGGAUUGUACUCUGCAACUCGAGUACAUGAAGCUGGAAUUACUAGUAAUCGCGGAUCAGCGCGCCGCGGUGAAUACGUUCCCGGGUCUUGUACACACCGCCCGUCACACCAUGGAAGUUGGUUACACCUUAAGGCAAGGAUUAAAAUCUUUGACUACGGUGCGGUCAGCGACUGGGGUGAAGUCGUAACAAGGUAGCCGUAGGGGAACCUGCGGCUGGAUCACCUCCUUUCU